rnacentral:rRNA from 1 species
CCCUUAGAUGUCCUGGGCUGCACGCGCGCUACACUGGAAGUUACGGAUUGAGAUACUACCUUGUCCGAAAUGGUCCGGGUAAUCACCUAAAAGCUUGUCAUAAUUGGAAUGGAUUAUUGUAACUAGUAAUCCUGAACGAGGAAUUCCUAGUAAGUCCCAGUCAACAGCUGGUACUGAUUACGUCCCUGCCCUUUGUACACACCGCCCGUCGCUACUACUGAUUGGACGUUUAAGCAAGAUUUUUAAACACUGACAGUGUGUAGUUCACGCUGUACUACAGUGAGAAGAAGAAGAUCGAGCUUACUUGUCUAGAGGAAGUAAAAGUCGUAACA